ACAUGGAUUUCAAAACAAGCUAUGAGGAAUUUGACUUCUUUUGAUUAUCUAUUAUAUAAAACAAUUUGGAUAUAAGUUAUAAGAUAUAAAGAAGCCUUCUCAUUAGCCAAACAUGGAUACAGUACCCAAAGACACGAGUUUUUGCUAGUAUUACAUAAUUCACAAAUUGAAAUCUUUGAUUACUUCAUCUUUCAACAACAAACAUUCUUGCGACACAAAGAAGGCAAAAAUCAACAAUGCAUCACGCACUCUUAACCCAAUUUCACCCAAUUCAAAACGCUCUUCCCCCAGCUCCAUUCCAGGGUUUCCAUCUCAAUUAGGGUUUCAAUUCAAACCCUAACCCUAAUUCACACCCUUGAGUUAUCUUACUCUCUGGAAUGUGCCAUGAACACGGUUUGCAAUCCACUCGUCUCUGGUCGGAGUGUGUCAAUUUUGUUUUCGGCGUCUAGUUGCACUUGCAAGUAUUUUGGUUGUGCGGUGAAUUGGCUGCAAUUGUGAAGAUGGGAUUGCUAAUUCGGUUCAUGGGACUGUUUUUUGUGCACGUUGCUGUCUUGCUUUGGUUCGUCGAGCCUUCACGCUGCAGCCAGAGCCAUUGUGGGCCUUGAAUAAACCCUCACGUUUCGAUGAAUUCCAUGUCGUGGACGUUGUAAGCUUCUCGCGAAUCGUUUGGUAAUGUUUCGGGUGGCCGCGAUUCCGAUUGCUGCAGCAGAGAGUCAACAAGUCUCCUUCGACCUCGUGUUCGCUGAAGGGCUAACCAUUUCAUCCUCGGGGAUCGGGAGUGUAACGCAAUGCUAGCAACCAAAGGAUUGAAUCGUAUGCACUUGACAGUUCCAGAAAUCAUGACUCUGCUCUCUCUCCGAAAAUGUUCCCCAGAUGAUAUGGCUAA